rnacentral:rRNA from 1 species
AUUGAACGCUGGCGGCAGGCCUAACACAUGCAAGUCGAGCGAGCGGCAGACGGGUGAGGAAUGUCUGGGAAACUGCCUGAUGGAGGGGGAUAACUACUGGAAACGGUAGCUAAUCCCGCCUACCAUCCGAUUUGCCCAGAUGGGAUUAGCUGGGAGGUGGGGUAACGGCUCACCUAGGCGACGAGCCCUAGCUGGUCUGAGAGGAGGACCAGCCACACUGGAACUGAGACACGGUCCAGACUCCUACGGGAGGCAGCAGUGGGGAAUAUUGCACAAUGGGCGCAAGCCUGAUGCAGCCAUGCCGCGUGUGUGAAGAAGGCCUUCGGGUUGUAAAGCACUUUCAGCGGGGAGGCGUUACCCGCAGAAGAAGCACCGGCUAACUCCGUGCCAGCAGCCGCGGUAAUUC